UGGAGCUGCUUAGUUGUCGGAGCAAAGCGGGAGGUGUGUUUGUGUGUGGUGGGUGGGCGGAGGCUCUGAGGAGGUAGGGACUGUGUCUGCUGCGCCGUUUGUUAUAGGAUAUUGCAGCCCUCUUUUGCAUGCUGGCAGUGACAAGUUCAGGCUUGUUCAUCUGACACAGUCCUGUGGUCACAGCGAAUCUGUCUGAAGCUUUAACUAAUGGAGAAGGGUGUUGGAUGGAUCCUCUGAACACUCAGUGGGACUUCCUGAAAGAUUUAUUAGGACAAAAACCUUCCUGGAAGCAGCAGCAGAACAAGCCCAGAGUGGCUGGGCUGGGCAGGAGCCUCCUGGCCUGAUCCCCACUGUUUGGGAGCAAUUACAUCCUGGAGGCCUGAUCUUUUGACCAGAAAGGAAUUAAAAAGAAGGUCCCUCAUGAUGGUUGCACCUGUCAGCUGCAAGGAGCUUCCUGUAAGGGUCUUCUGAGUCUUGUGGGUAAACUCCAGAAGUUGGUGAUGGACAAGGAGACCUGGUGUGCUGCAGUCCAUGGGGUUGCAAAGAGUAGGACACGACUGAGCGACUGAAUUGAACUGAGUCUUGUGGAUGUAUAGUGAUUCUCAGCCGCCUUCAUGGGGACUGAUGCUGGUGGAAGCAGGCUCUCCAGAGACACACACCAGCCACAUUUCUGGAUGCUCAUGGUGGUUUUAGGAGGGCCCUGGCUGAGCACCUCGUGGAUUCCUGCAGCCUGGAUGAAGAUGGGAGACAGAGGACCGAUGCUUCCUGCCUUUCUCACUGACGGGAACUUGGAGCUCUGCCAGCUCCCCCGGGGGCUGCCUCUGAAACAAUCUUGUUACACCUGGGAUUUUGGUGCCUUUAAUCUGAGAAGAAGACAUAUCCAUUCAAUAAUCCAAAAGGACUUGAAAACUGUUCUUCUCUGGAUUAAAGCUAGAAUGUCAUGGGAUUUAAAGAAUCAAGGCUGAGCAGUGAUGUGAAGCAUCCUGAGGUCCCGUGGAAGAUCUGCCUCUCUCCAGCCUUGGGUUCUCUGCAUUCCUGAGCAUCUCAGGGUCCAGAAGAAAAAGAAGAAAGCCUACCAGUUCUGGGAGCAGUUUGGAUGAAGAGAGAUGAGAAAACUGCUCCUUAGAGAUGUUAAACAACUUGGCAGAAGUCACACAGCUACUACAAUACAUUUCAAGAGAAUCAGCCACCUGCCUCCGAGAUUAUGCCGGACCUUUGGAUGGAAUCACGUGAGGUGCUAAGGACUGCCGGAGGAAACUGACCAUCUGUGUCCGUAGAAGCUGGGCAAGUGCAUUUGGCUCCCGGAGUCCCACAGGACUGGAUAGGGGGUGAUGUUAAGAGCCGGUGUCACCUCUGCCUGGAGCUGCUUGAGUUUCCGUGGGCAGGUCAUUUCCUCUCACUGCACCUUACUUUUCUCAUCUGUAUAGUGGGCUCAGUGAGUGUCCUUCAGCUCUCAAAGUCUGAACAACAGGGUUUAGAUAGUGCCACCAGAUUGACAUAAAGAACAUAUUAGCUUACAUGCUGUUUUGUGUCAGAGUAGGAAAGGGGAUAUUUAAAACUAUAUUCAAAUGUCUGUUUUAAUUAACUAAAUAUAUUUCAUUAUAUUUUAAUUUAAAGAUAUUAUAAAAUUUUAAAGUAGAGAUUUGUCCCAGAGCUCUUAAAUGUCACAGUUUAUGAUUGUCCAGGAAUGUAUCGCCUUUGGGUCUUACUCUUCUUUCUUGUUACUUUAUUUUCCCAUUAAAAUGUAUGUAUUUGUUUC